AUUGAACGCUGGCGGCAGGCCUAACACAUGCAAGUCGAGCGCACGGCGGCCGGGUGAGGAAUGUAUGGGGACUGCCCGUUGGUGGGGGGUCACUACUGGAAACGGUAGCUAAUACCACAUACUAUCGGAUAACCCAUAUGGGAUUAGCUAGUAGGUGAGGUAAUGGCUCACCUAGGCGACGAUCCCUAGCUGGGCUGAGAGGAUGAUCAGCCACACUGGGACUGAGACACGGCCCAGACUCCUACGGAGGCAGCAGUGGGGAAUAUUGCACAAUGGGCGAAAGCCUGAUGCAGCAACGCCGCGUGUAUGAAGAAGGCCCUAGGGUUGUAAAGUACUGUCAGUCGGGAGGCGUUACCGACAGAAGAAGCAUCGGCUAACUCCGUGCCAGCAGCCGCGGUAAUAC
rnacentral:rRNA from 1 species